rnacentral:rRNA from 1 species
AAGCGGUGGAGCAUGUGGUUAAUUCGAAGCAACGCGAAGAACUUACCAGGUCUUGACAUCCCGAUGCUAUUUCUAGAGAUAGAAAGUUACUUCGGUACAUCGGUGACAGGUGGUGCAUGGUUGUCGUCAGCUCGUGUCGUGAGAUGUUGGGUUAAGUCCCGCAACGAGCGCAACCCUUGCCUUUAGUUGCCAGCAGUUCGGCUGGGCACUCUAAAGGGACUGCCGGUGUUAAACCGGAGGAAGGUGGGGAUGACGUCAAGUCCUCAUGGCCUUUAUGACCAGGGCUACACACGUACUACAAUGGCCGAUACAAAGGGCAGCGACAUUGCGAAAUGAAGCCAAUCCCAUAAAUUCGGUCUCAGUCCGGAUUGGAGUCUGCAACUCGACUCCAUGAAGUUGGAAUCGCUAGUAAUCGUGGAUCAGCAUGCCACGGUGAAUACGUUCCCGGGCCUU